GUCAUCUAGAGGGUAAAGUUUUACAACGUGACAAGAGCUACUGGUAUCAGCUGCGCUGAGCUAGCUAGAUAGCUAGACUCUCCUAGAGCUAGCUAGAGGCGAGAGCUAGAGCGAGCGAGGAGGGGGGAGAUUGAGUGAUUGACCGGCCCUAGCCAAAGAUUGUACCGGUAUCUUUGCUAUAGCGGGAGUAAAAAAAGCCGACGGAACAUAAUAAUCAAGAUAAAAACCUGUCCAGUGGUAGCUCCACUUGGUUUCACUCCAUGAUAUCAAAAGACGAGCAAGUGCAUCUCCACUAAAGACACACUUCCAGUUUGAUUUAUUAACCAUGUUAGACCAAGGUCCUUUGUCGAUGUGGAUGCGCUUCUACAUCUAUGCAAUCCAUGGCUACUUCAGUGAGGUGAUGUUCACUGCUGGAUGGGAGUUUGUCGUCAACCAGAAUUGGAAGUUUCCAGGAAAUACAAGUGUUUGGUCUCUGUUCAUCUACGGUGCUUCCGGCUUGGUUCUGGAGCUGUUGUACAAGCAUAUGAAGGGUAGAGUUCCUCUCAUCCCACGUCUUCUUAUCUACUCAACUUGGGUCUAUAUGUGGGAGUUCUCGGCAGGGCUUUUUCUGACACAGUUUAACGCUUGCCCCUGGGACUACACCCCAUUCGAGUGGGAUUUUCUAGGAUUAAUAACACUGGAGUAUUUCCCCUUUUGGAUGUUAGGUACCCUUAUGAACGAGAAGAUACUGAUGAAGCAUACACUGAGGCUACACUUUGUGGAUACUCCAAAUGCUGCAAAUACAGAGCAAGUUUUGCGUUCUAAUGGAUGCAAGAAGAAGGCAAAAUGAGAAAUCAUAGUUUUAAUGUGUUUGUGUGUGUUUAGGUGUUGGCUGUAAUGAUAUCUACAGUCAUAAUAUACAAUCAUACAGAAUUGCUAAAUCAGUUAAAAUUUUAGAAAUUUUUGUGUAAGGCUUUCCAAUAAUAAUUCCUUCCUACGCAUGAAUUUAUUUAUUACAAGUAUCCUCAUAUAGUUUUAUAUUGGGUUUAAAAAAAAGUUAUGGCUCAGUAUUAUAUACGGUAGGCCUAGUGAUUUCCCAGCUCAGACUACAAAUUUUGUCUAUUUCAUGUUCUAGGUUAUUUGUGUGAAAUGGUUUUCUGAAGAAAAGAGUUUAUACAUUAUACAUGCUAUCUACAGUGCUCUUAAUAUUGAGACUACUGGAGAGCUGGGAUGAAUGAGGAUCAUAACUUCUAGCAGAGAUCUCCAAACCAGAGUAUGUGUUUAUGGGGGGGGGGGGGGGUUACAGUUGUUAGAAUUUUGUGCUAGAGUUAUCUCAAGACCAUAAGGUGAUGAAAGGGUCUGUGUCUGGAUACGAGUCUAGAAAGGAGUUAAGGUAUCUUGGUAUUUCUUUGAUUGUGGUGCUAUGGCAGGUAAAGAGGGCUUGUUUAGUUUAGAUGAUGCACAGUUAAAACCAUUAUGUGUGUUUAUGUUAUAAUGCUGCAAUGUAUGUCCAUGUAAUGUGCAUGGCCCAUAAUGCAAGGUCAGUCAACUUCAGUCCAUGAUAUUGAUAUCAAAUUAUUGUAAUUUGUAAUUACUUCAUUUGAAAUAUUUGUUAUUUACUCCUUGCAUUUAUCUUUUCUUUAUCAUCAUCAUUUAUUUAUCAUCGACUUGCACCAUGCUACAUUUUUACCAGUCAUCACAGUGCAUUGGUUGAUUGGGCAGAGGGACCAUUGUGGUUGCCGUGAUUAUUUUUAUUCUCCAUUUCCCUGGCCACCAACUUGGUGCACUUGGAAGACUGCUACUAAAAAUGUGUGUACUCAUAAUCUCUGUCAUUUUCAUUUUAUUAUAGUAUGAUAUUGUUAUUUGUAGGUAUGUGAGUGUAUGCAGGUGUGGAUCCAGCAGGAUUAGACCCAAUAGUUUUGAGAGGCCAACUAUUGUGCAAAACAAUAUGGCCCCUGAAAUGGUAAUGUGUUCAACCAGGCUAGAUCCACUUCUGAGUGUAUGUAUGUGAUAAAUAUUAUUUAAUAUUUAAAUGCAUGUUCCCAUUGUAUUCCUGUUAUUUUAUUGAUGCAAACAGGGUGAACGCUUUCAAUGUUACUUAAUUGAACUAUAUUUCUAACUGCCUCACAGUUUGUCACCAAUCAUAUACAUGUACAUUGUAACCUGUGUUUUAUGGACCACAGCUUGAUGAUCAAAGUAUAUUCCUGAAUUUCAUGAAAUAGAACCAAAGUUUGUAUAUUCCUGUCAGUUGUUCUUAGCCAGUACAUUGAUAUGUCAAGGUAUAUAUCAAAGUUGACCUGAAAUAUGCAGAGAAGAAAUUAUACUGUUGUGAUGUAGCGGCACAUAGUUCUCAGUUAUACUCAACUUUUCUUACAUGAAUGUGUUGCAUAAUGUUUCUUCCUUUGUUCUUGUCUUAUCCCCAAAAGUCAAUAUGAUUUUUUAAAAACUAUUAUCAUUUAACUAUUUAACUAUUAUUUACUAUUAUCCCAGCCAUGGCGUAAUUUCCUUCAGCAAGAAAUUUAUCCACAUUGUGCUGCACUCAACCCAGGUGAGGUGAAUGGGUACCCGGCAGGAUUAAUUCCUUGAAUGCACUGAGCGCUGGAAGGCAGCUCGAGCUAAAGCCGGGGUAAUGAUAAUAAACAAUGCGCCUCGGAAUAGAUUAUUUCUAGAUAGAUGGCGCUAUAUAAAUGCCUAUUAUUAGUAUUAUCAUUUUCAUGUUGAUCUGUCCGUAAAACUUACAUUCAACAGUAAGGCUGGAUCUAAUGACACAGUUAAAUGUUUUAAAAAAUCUUUGUAAUAGAGAAAAUGUAUGAUGCCCGCCACAUACAGAAUCACUUAACUGCGCCACAUUAAUUUCAAGGUGCAACCUUAAGAGGGGUUUUGCAUGGACUAUGCUAAUGCAGCUCACAAUAGCCUUUGACCUUGUGUAUGAACAAUAUCUAAUUCAUAGAAUGUGACUUGAGUCGAACUUGGCAGUGUGCUGUAUGUUACUCUAGUCGAACAAAGCGGACAAAGGAAAGUAUGGUACAUUCACCUAUUGGCACUGUGUAUGAAAAAUUCUAAGAUGAAGAAUCUUAAUGAUUGGAUGAGAGCCUGCUUAGUUUAGUGAUUGAUCAUGGAACUGAUUUUAACAUUUGAUCAAUACACAAUAAUCAAUUAUGUAUUAUUCAAUCAUAGAAAUCUACCCCACUAGGCUACUAUUGAUCGCUAGGCUUUAUGUUAAAGGUCCUUUGCAUUUAGUAUGCCUAGUUUUCCUGCCAGAAAACGUAUUGAAUUCAAGGAAAAUAAUAGGCAUUCUACAUAGAUUGGUGAUCAUUUGGUGAGCAUUAAAGCUGGUUUACUAUGUAUGUGUACAUUUCGAUCCAUGAUUCUUGCUGAAGUUGAAGUUUUACAUUAUUUCUGUUCAACUUGACAUUCACUGAAAUAGAUACUAUGUUCUCAAUAUUAACAAAAUCUGAAUUAAAAAAACCCCACUUUUAUUGUGCACUGAAUUCCCACAGCUCCAUUCUUCAGUAUGGUAUGGAGUAAAAGUGUUAUUGUAUGUUGGAUAGUGCAUACUCCUUGUUUGUUAGAUUUUUUUUGCACAAAUGUUUCAGGGUACAAUGCCAUUAAGCUUUGGACUUCCCAUUAUGUUGAAGCAAGUUUAUAUUAUGGUAUACUGUUUUAUUGAUGUUGGUAACAUUGAAAUGAAAGUCAGUGAUGUAGCUUUUCCACUCGGCACCCAAACAUAGUCAGGGGUGUGAGAGUUAAGAUUUUUAUCUGAUUUCAGAUUUUUUUUCCAGCUUAAUUUCAGCUUAUUUUUGGCCUUCCUCUGUACAAAAAGUAUGGGAGCUCUUUCUGUUUCAGACUUUUUCAACACUCUUCAGCUUUUUUCAGAUCUUUUUAUUUGUGACCACUCACACCCCUGCAUAGCGUACAGGGUAUAAAGCAAUUCCUUCAACAGUUAAAUAAGAAGUUUAUUAAUUCCAUCCAAAUAUCAAUUUAUUAAUUACUUAGCACUUUUAUACGUUGGUAGGAGUCCUCUAAGAACAGAUUUGUAGAUAAUUUUUUUUGGGUGUCAACUCCUGUCUGUUUGUGUCAACUACUUUCUGUUUGCUGUUUAUUUCAUCUUAUUUUGCACAAUUGCUUCAGCACAAAUUAUUUGAAUAUUUACACAAUGUAGUUUGUACAGUAGUGUAUUCUGGUAUUACCUUAGUUUUAUGGAUACAUCAAUAUACUUUGAUUUGUAUUGUUUAUGGUUGAAUUACCGGUAAGCCUUGGUAGAGCACUUAUAUCCUUUGAUACAAAUUUCCAAACAGGUGUAGUUACGGGUAGCUGUGAUGUAUUUGACAAUCUUUACUUGCAUUUCUAUGAUAAAUUAGAAGCAUUUAAUUCUAUGUUGUGUACAUGUAUGUAAUUAUUUUAAUUAUGUUUUGACAAUUUUCAUCAAUAUUGUACACAUGUCUGUGUAAUCUUUUAGCAAGUUUUUUUUAUAGAUACUUUAAUAUUUCUUUUUUUUAAACAAGUAAAGAAUGUGGAUUUGCAAUAUACAAGGUUAUAAGUUAAGAGUGGAAUUAAAAAUGCAAAUGUAGGUUUUGUGAAGCUGUGGUCAUGCAUGAAUACAGUGAUAUAGUUGAGUGGCCCCCAGGAAAAAAUGGAAAUGAACGGAAAAUAUUUUCUUGAAUGUUGUGGGAAAUGAAAUCGGUAGCUUGGUUGAUGAUUCUGGGGAAUACUUUCUUGCAAAUGAUAUUGACACAAUAUUAUUAUUAUCCAAUUUUAAAUACUUUUCCUGUUCUUACUGUUAAUAUGUUUUUACAAAGUAAUGCACCUUGCUUGGACCAGGCUAAUUUUGCCUGAAUGUGUACAUGCUGUGCAUACUGUGCAUAAUCUUCAUAAAAUAAUUUGUUUAGUCUAUGGAUUUAGUGAUAUGAAUAUUCUCUCCCUAAGUAUGUUAGAUUAGACACUGAUUUAAAAUUCCAUAGAUUUGAAUGACAGCACUGGAGCAUUACCAAAUACAAUGUACCACCUCCCAGUAAAGAGGAUUAAUAUGUGCACAUCUCCAUUAUUUCGAAUAUUAUCUUCUUCCCAUUUCUUGCAUUAUUGCAGCUUCUGUUAGUGCAUUCAUGUUCUCAAAGCCUUGUCUGAAGCUCGAGUGAAGGAUUACAUUAGACUACCAUUCUAACAUUCCGGUCUUCACUAGUGUACUGAGCAUUAUAUCCAUUUUAUUUGAUUGAUUCCUUUGUACGAUUUUAAUAUGGCUGUUUACCAGAUUUAUUGCUCUCUCUCUCAUGGUGAUGCUAUCAUCUUUAUUUUUUAAAGGGCCUCCAAAAACUUAAACUUAUUAAUUAUAAAUUCAGUUACAUAUCUGAAAAGCAAUAUACAAAUGACAUAUCUUGUAUCUUGUGUUUUGAUUAUAUAUAUAUUCAAAUAAAGAGAAAAAGUACUUAAGUUGAUAACCUUACCCCUUUGAAUUUUGAUAUGUUGACUAUAAAAUUCACCACUGAAUAUUCAAUGCGAUAUUGCACCUUUCAUACUGUUUAUCUUACAUUAUGUUUAAACUCUGGGAAUAAACAAUCAUUACAUUAACCAAAACUUAAUACAGGCUUUAACAUUCGUUUACCACUUGAUUCAGGGUCACCCUUCAUUAUAGUCCCUCCUAGAACUGCUACUCUCCUUUAAAAGAGGCUUUGGUGCCUUGUGACAACUUUAAAUAGCCACUCGUUUUCAGAUUUAUACGAAAAUGUUUGCUGCUGAUUUGUAUGUUUAAAAAAAAUGUAUGUGCAAUGGAAACUUGGGUUUGCAAAGGCUGUUGUUUGACUGUUAAAAUUUCCUUGUAGCAGGAACUAUUUGAAAUUUUGACACCAAGUUUGGAAAAAACCCAAACAACAGCCGAAGAGUGUGCAGAGCUGCACAGGUAUAUAUCAGUGGUGGAUACAGGAUUUUGAAAUAGAGGUGAUGGAAAGUAAAGACCUGAAAUAGCAAAUGUAAAAAUAGACUGAGUGCAGAUGACAAUUGUAUGUGGAGUUUAUUAGAUUGAAUCUUAAUGUGUAUGUUCAAUGGGUGAUUCAGAAAAAGAAAUACAUAGGGGGCAUGUGCUCUUUACGCCCCCGCCUGGAUCUGCCACUGUAAAUGAACCUUGCAGGUCUUUAAAUGCCAAGUUUCUGUGAAUAGAAGGAUAUGAUAAUAGAAUGAUGCAAUACCUGUUCAGAUAGACAGAGCAAUACUGAAGAGUAAAUAAAAUGAUUGUAACAUAAUACUUUCAAAUGGUUAUAUUGAAUACCAGCUAAUAAAAAAUGAUUUUAUCAAUA